AAACAAAAUAAAUGAAAACUUAACUUAUAUUAUUAUAUUGAAAAAACUAACAAGUCUUACAAAUAUGUCAAAAUAAUGACAAAGUACAUCAAAAUACCAAAACAAUACCUAUUCAAUUCUUCCAAAAUUUAAACUGCGCCAAGUAACUUAGAGCAGAACAAACUCGUAUAAACUUGAAAGCAAUAUUAAAGUCAUUGCUUACUUCUAAUAUCCACCCCAAAAUUACAAAUCAAUAAACUUCAACAAAACAUACAUGUGCAUCACCUCCUAGCUACCAGUCAAUAAGCUGCAGUCCAACUAAAUAAUAAUAGCCACUAAUCUGCAUGCAUCUCCCCGAUAAGACCACAUUACCAACUUUUGCACUUGAUGGAGUAAAGCAUAUUUUCAACCUAAACUGAAACCAAUUAUAGUUAGCAUUUCAACAAGAAGGUUAAAGCAUAUUUCCAAAUUUGCAUAAAUCCACACCCUAAAGCCAAAGAUUUCCAUUUAAAUUGUAGCUAAAUAAAGGACAUAUGAAAUUGUUAAUCAUUUAGUUUAGAGAAUUGGUACUCACCUACUGAUAAUAGGCUCAUAAAUCAGAACAUACCAAAUUGCUUCCCCAUCAGAAAUGUCCAAGAUGUCUUGUAUGUACAAGGUGCAAAGGAGUCAAAAGAACAUAUCAGUUUUUUCAUUGAACAUGAGAGAUGUGAUGUCCUUGAAUCCUCUAAUUUUACUACAAUUGUAGGGGGAAAAUAACAAUAUACUCAUAGCAAAGAACUUGUUUAUAACAAAAGAACAAAAACAACAAUAUACCUACUAUGAGAUAACACAUACAAGGAUAUCAUGCAAUUAUCUCUCAACCUCAUCAAGAACAUAUAUGAUGGCUGACAUUAACAUAAUAAUAAAAAUACCUCUAAAAACUAUUGUGCACGUCUGCCCCAUUAAAAUACCAAAAAAGUUAAUCAAUUUAUACUCACCAGUUACAAGAUCUAGACACUCGAUUUUUUCCUCCAAACGCCUCACCAAUCAUGACACUUCCUCUCGUUACAGGUUAUAACACCUAUACAGAAAAAGAAGAUGAAGAUACAUCUAUCAUAGAAAUUUGAAUACUAACAAACAAAGCAAAGCAUAAACCACACAAAAAUAGCCGUAGCAGUACAAUAGGAAAUAAGAAAUAUUAAAAAUCUUGCUGAAAAUAUUUAGGCUUUUAAACCAUAAGAAAUAAAUCACAAGAAACUCCAUAACUUUGGCCAAUGAUAUAUAAUUCAAGAAAAAUGCAACCUAUAUGAUAUAUCUUACAAUCCACAAACCUGUCACAUAGCCAAAUUGUGUCAGCACAGUUAUGUUUGACCCUUCAUGUCUGAAACACAGAGAAAAAUCGCUAAGAAACCAAGCCUGCAUUAUUAACUUAUGCAACAAAUCUACACAUAAAAAUAGCUAAGAGGAAAUUGAGUUCAUACUCUGCAUCUGCAGGAGGAACAGUGGCUACCAAAAUUAAGCUUGAAAAUUGCAAUAUUCUGACACAACUUUCUUGAGCUUCUAUUUCUAGGACUUUUUAAGAUGCAAAAUAAGUUCAUAAAGUGGAAAAUCCUGACCAGGAUGCUGCAAAAGCUUAACAAUUAUUUCACAUAAAAAAAUUCAAGAACAUGUGAAGCUGAGAAAAGAAAACCCAAAUUAUACUUCAGAAUUAAAUAAAAUCCAUUGAUAAAUCCACACCGAUCUAUAUACUAUAUAACCUAAACAACAAUGAAGAUAACAAAGGGAUGACAUCUGCAAUUUUUUCUUGAAGUGAUGUUGCAAUAUAAUUCAAAUGAUAUGAGACUUUAACAGUGAGCUUAGUAUUUGCUUACCUUCAAUUAAACUCAUCUCUGCAACUGCAAACAAGUGCAUCUUAAUCAAAUUGCCAACGAUGCCUCAAUAGAAGCUUGAACCCAUAAGCCUCAAGUGCAUGACACAUAGUAGGACUUGGAAAAGGUAGAAUUCUACAUCAAUGCUUCCAAUCAGUUACUCAAAUUAAUCAUGAGGCAAUUCAAAGAGUAAAGAUCAACUGGUUACAAUUGAGAGGCACAGUGGUAAAAUUAAAAAAGUUCUCAUCUCUGAAAGGAAACUCAUCUCUCUUCUUCAAACAUCAUCUCACAUCCCUCCUUUACUUGUCAACAACAAUGAAUGCAAAAGAGGAUUGUUCCACUAACUAUAAUAGAAAUUCCUGCCUUACAUAAAUACCAGACCCAAGAGAUGUGCUUAAUGUCUUAUCUACAACUGCUCCUAAGACCUCAAUAUAUCUAUAACAGAUGACAAUUCUU
rnacentral:lncRNA from 1 species